UAAAUGCAGUAACUGAGCUAAAGGCUUUAGUAAUGAUGCGCAAACUACGGUAGCUAGGCCUUAGCAGGGAUUUCCUUUCAACAUUUCUUUUUUGUUUUUAUUAGUUACCUUGUACAAAGGUAUUUUUUUUCAGGAAACAGUAUUAAAAUGAUUCCUCACAGUCCCAGAAAAACAUGACAUUUCAAGUUGAAGACUGCGCUCAGGCGUUCGCUUUGGGGUGAAUUAUCACAAAUGAAGUCAGAUCAGAAAUCCGGUUUUUGCCUACGAAGAUAAAUCUGAUCUCUGCAAACAACAUUUAUGCACAGAAAACACCAAAAAUAAGAGUGAAAUGCUUCACAUAUAAAUAGUAAAACAUACACAGACGUGAAGGUUUAAUGAAUGUGCGUUUAUGACGAGCAGUUUAUUGUCCACUUCGCUGGCUAAACACUAGGGGUGUCCUGAUGUAAACACAAGAGGAAUAUCCUCACCUGUAAAACAAGCCUGUCUCCACCACAAAGUUGAGGGGAAAAAAAAAAUUAUAAUAAAAUAAAAAAUCAUGACUUCUGGAGAAAUAUAUGGAAAUACCUUCUCUGUAGAUAACUGUAACUAGUAAUGGGAUAAGUCUGCUCUCACCUAGAUAAAAUGUACUAAAUGUUUCCCACGACGGGCUCAAAACCGCAACACAAUCACAUUUUAGAGGCAAUAUAUAUUUAUCUAAGUGGGUAUAUAUACAUCUAUAUAUAUAUAUCAAAAAAAUCACAAAUUUUGUUAGAAUUUGUUAAUUAUAUUAACUUUUUAAUUCACAACAUGGGUGAGUAUCAUAUCCUUUCUUGGCUCUUCUUUAUGUACAUUCAGUUAGUUUGAAAACUGGAUUCGGUUCUGCUGGAGCCAGAUGACUUUUCACUUAAAAAACAAACACCCACUGGUUCAGAAGUCAGCCGCGCCUACAGACUUCACUGCCAACCACCGGCUGACUUUAAACCGUGUAUGAACUCUGUAAACGUGUCUGUUCUGAUAGAAACUCCAAUACUGAAAAUGCAGAAAACCUCUCAAAUGAAAACUUGUGCGACUUGUCUGCUGUGCAUCUCUGUCUGCGGGUCGUUUUCACACAAGGCACAUCAUCUUUUCCCUCCUCUGCCCUUCAGACAAUCUUUCUUUCUCGUCGUUCCACCGCAAUUUGAUUCUGAAGGAUGCAGGGAGCAAUAUGUGCUACUUUAAUCAUCGCGAGGACUACAACAGGUUUUGAACUGUUUUUUUUUUUUUUACUCCAUUUUAUGCAGUUUGAACCGAUUUAAAGGCUGUAGGUCAAUUGGAUGGCUUGCCUGGUAAGGAGGUGUGAGAAAUAUGCAAGUAAAAUCAUUUUACUGCAGCAACAUAAUCUUGCUAUGAAAAAUAAACUUGUAAUUUAUUCAGGUGA